UUUCAGUCCUCGGAGUAGCAUAAACCCGCACUGCAAAAGAAAGAAUGGCCACUGCGAUCCGUAAUCCCAACCCCAACCUAACCAGGUUCACUUCAUCUCCCGGGUUCAGGCCACAGCUGCCGUACAUGUUACACUUCAAGUCCACCCUUUUCCGCUCCAGAUUUUCCGAGAAACUCUCUUCAUUUUCGUCCUGGAAAUGGCGAACGUCUCGACAAGAGCCUGUAUUUCUUUCCAAUUCGAGUCGGAUCCCUGCGUCUCACUCUUUCGAUGUGGUGGUGAUCGGCGCCGGAAUCAUUGGGUUGACCAUUGCCCGACAGUUGCUGAUGGGUUCAGAUCUAUCUGUUGCGGUGGUCGAUGCGGCGGUGCCGUGUUCCGGUGGCGGUGCUACUGGGGCAGGGCAGGGCUAUAUUUGGAUGGUACACAAAACCCCUGGGAGUGAUAAAUGGGAGCUUACCAUGAGGAGCCAUAGACUAUGGGAGAUGUUGGCAGAGAGCAUACAACAGCAAGGCAUGAAUCCUUUGGAAGUUUUGGGCUGGAAGAAGACUGGUAGUAUGUUAGUUGGUAGAAACCUUGAAGAGUCGGUUAUGUUAGAAAGGAGGGUAAAGCAGCUAUGUGAAGCUGGGCUGAGAGCUGAAUUCUUGUCUAGCAGUGAUUUGCUCUUAAAGGAACCUGCACUCAAGGUUGGGAUUGCGAGUGGGGCAGCCUUUCUUCCAGAUGACUGCCAAUUGGAUGCUCUGCGGACUGUUGCUUUUCUUGAACAGGCCAACAGACAUUUUACAUCAGAAGGUCGAUAUGCAGAGUUCUAUUAUAACCCAGUAACGCGUUUGUUAAGAUCUGGUUGCAGUGGGGAGGUUGAAGCAGUUCAAACUUCUAAGAAUACCUUGUACAGCAAGAAGGCUGUUGUAGUUGCAGCUGGUUGCUGGACUGGGUCCUUGAUGAAUGAUCUGAUUAGAGGAUCAGAUAUUGUGUUGGAUGUGCCUGUGAAGCCUCGAAAGGGUCACUUGCUUGUAUUAGAGAAUCUUAAUUUCCAAGUGAAUCAUGGUCUAAUGGAGGUGGGAUAUGUUGAUCACCAAAUUGCAACAAUGCGUUCUUCUAAUUUAGCUUCAGGAAAUCAUGAUCAGGCAUUGUCUAUAUCGAUGACAGCUACUAUGGAUUCAAUGGGAAACCUCCUCCUUGGGAGCAGUCGCCAGUUUGCUGGGUUCAGUACUGAAUCAGAAGAGACCAUUAUUCAUCAUAUAUGGGAGCGGGCUGGGGAGUUCUUUCCUACUUUAAGAGGAAUACCACUAAAAAAUUUCAUUCAGAGCAGAAAAGUUCGAGUAGGAUUACGCCCUUAUAUGCCUGACGGUAAGCCAGUGAUUGGACCUGUUCCUGGUUUCUCAAAUGUGUUCUUAGCUGCAGGCCAUGAGGGAGAAGGGCUUUCUAUGGCUUUGGGAACUGCUGAAAUUGUUGCUGAUAUGGUGCUUGGCAAUCCUGGGAAAGUUGAUUGGGCACCUUUUUCUGUCCAAAGUCGAUGUUGUUGAAAGUUGUGUAUCAUAUUGCCAUACAGGAGAGUACUUGAUCAAUAAUUCAUGGGCAGUAUGUUUCUGGGAAAUACCCCAGUCAGGGCAGCUUGGCACCUAACUGUUUUAAUUAUGACGCCAGUGACCAUAGCAUUUGAUCACCAUUUGGUACUGUUCAUCUGAUGUGUGCCGUGAGAGGACCUCUACCAGUGCUACCCCAAGGCGCAUCUCCAAUCUUUCAGGUAGCAUGCUGAGAUAGUAUUUGUCAGGAUCCCUAAGGAACUCCGCAAAUUCUAGUGUCCCUUCUUCUGGAAUGAAUUUCCGACACAUUGUUGGACGAUUUGGAGGGUAACCGGCAUAUCCAUAUUGCCCAAAGUUCACAGAAGCAUGAAGGGCUGAUGCAGUCCAUAUGAUGGUUGUCAAAGCUUCUAUUAGCUCUGAGAUAGUUGUCAUUUGGUACCACCACUUUUCAUUACGCUUGUCCUCAUGACCCACAUGUUGUAUUUCUGACCACCAUGCUUGGAUUUCUCUAUCCGACUUUACAGAAUCAUCAUCUUUGUAGAAGAGUGAGCAGAAGUCUCUUACCCAUGUGCUGAUGGCAAUCCAUAUAUCUAGCCCAUCGGCACCAUAAGGAUAGUCUUCAAAGAGGAGUUGAACCCCAGCAGGCUUCUCUGGGUCUGUGAAGGCCAUGCGCCUGGGAAUUUUGUGCACCAUGGAGAAAUGAUAUGGUUAAGUCCUCUGCUACUCAAUAUAUUUUAUGAAUUCUUUCUGAAAGUCAUGUGAACCUGCUAAUCUUGAAGUGUACAUGAUUUCUUGCAGAGUUGUGCAUUUUAGUACAUUUAAUGCGUCCCGUGCAAUGCAUACACUAUGCAUGAAUAAAAUUCCUUGGCAUAGUGUUUGUGCAUCUAGAUUUAGUGCUGAACAUUUAAAAUUGUGUGAAUAUGGACAAACUUUUAUCAAAUUUACAUAAUUUCAAAUUUGUGGCCCAAACUUGUAUUUCUAAAUGCAGCAUGGGAAUUUUUUCUGUUAAUGUUGUAUGCUUCUGCCUGUACAACCGGACUAUAAAUCCGGGACCAGUGAUUUGUACUGUUUACUUCCCUGUACAACAUUUCAGGGAAGAUGUAGGCUAAUCCAAUUUAAACAACUGAGGUUUUGACAACAGGAGAUUAGUCGACUAUGUUGGUUUUCAAUCUCUUUUUGCACAAUUUGCAAAACGCUGUGGGAGCUUGGAAUUCAAGAAUUAGACAUGAUACUGUGUGAAUUUCCCAUCAAGGAUUGUUUGAGAAAAAGAAAGAAAAAUAAGUAAUGUAUUUUCCAUUAUUUUUUUCUCCCCCUCAAAUAGUAUCAAAAGUAAAGAUUUAUUUUAAUAUGAUUAAAAAUCAAUAAAAAUUAAAUGUUAAUCAUUUUUAAAAAUAAACUUUUAAUCAUUGUUUUACUCUCUCUCUCUCUCUCUCUCUCUCUCUCUCUCUAUAUAUAUAUAUAUAUAUAUAUAUAUAAUAUUUUCCUUUUCUUUUUCUCAUAUUUUCCAAGUUCCAAAUGGAUCUAAAAUUAUAUUGAUUUUGGUCAAAUUCUACACUAUCAAAUCCAAAGUUUAGAAUUCCUUGUUUUCGAAACGCAGUGUUAGUCCCAUUCUAAAUUGAAGCAUUGCCGAUUUCCCCAGAUUAUGAAGGUUUUGUUUACAGAUUUCAAUUAUGUACGGUCAACGUGCUGUUCUUCUUUUCUUGCCUGGAACAAGAUGAAAUACCUUUUAACCAAGUCAGCAGGGAGGCCUUGUUCAUCAAAUCGCCAGUCUUUGUAGAGCUCAGCAGACAGCUCCAUGGAGAAUUCACCAGAAAACAAAAUAGUCUCUAGUAUUCCGCCGGCGUUUAUGAGGAUCCUCCGAGCCAACGCAUUGACAUGUAUGGUAUCCCUGAAAUGAGGGCCCAACAGCCAAUGUAUCGGGUGCAUGACACUCAACUGCCUUCUAGAAGCGAUGAUGACUGGCUCAAUCACCGCUUGACAAGUGCGAGCGAAUUGAUUGUUUAAAUAAACUCACCAGUGGGUGACCAGCUGAUGGUAAGCAGAAUCGUUGGCAGCAACAUGAGCUUUGGCAAGCUGCCAGAGUGCAGCGUCAGUGCCCUGCACUGCUGGAACAAAGACUCUUGAGCUAUGCGUGGUAGUGGAUGAAGAUGAAUGGGCAGGCAAGCUGAGUUCUAUUGCAAGUGGCUUUAGAGUAGCAUCGUUCCUUAAGAAGAGCAACGUCCGGGAUGCGUAUGAGCAUGCACCAUGGGCGUUAAUUCUGUCUAAAAAUGGCAAGAGGUAGUCAUGGUGAUCCAAAAUGAAUAUCCUCCAUUGUUCCAUUGCCUGCAUGCAUCCGAUGCACACAUGUUUUAAGAGAGUUAGAUUCUUAAAAAAGAUUUGGUUCAGCCUGUCCAUGUUUUUGAGGAGGAUGGCGGGAGUUUGCAUUACAGAUGAGUGACGGGGUAUGUUCCUGGGAAAUUGCAGGCUGAGGUUCUGUUGGAUAAAUGAUUUACGGUACCUGGGUGACGGUCAAUCCUUCGAGGUUGUGCUCUAUGUGGAAUGACCUUAUGGAGCUCCAUCCACGCUUGCCUCGGGGUGGAAAGGUCUACAAGGUAUUAUAAACUGUUAAAAUGGUUCCCUUGUCUCAAAUUCUGCAGUUAUUAAAAGCAAUAUUGAUCAUCAACCGCUAAAUAUGCAGGCAUUUUGGCUGAUGAGUUCUUGGUUUUGUGACGAGGAAAUGAUUGCUUCGCCGUGUUUAAUUA